UACGUAGGGUCCGAGCGUUGUCCGGAAUUACUGGGCGUAAAGAGCUCGUAGGUGGUUUGUCGCGUUGUUCGUGAAAACUCACAGCUCAACUGUGGGCGUGCGGGCGAUACGGGCAGACUAGAGUGCGGUAGGGGAGAUUGGAAUUCCUGGUGUAGCGGUGGAAUGCGCAGAUAUCAGGAGGAACACCGAUGGCGAAGGCAGGUCUCUGGGGCAUUAACUGACGCUGAGGAGCGAAAGCAUGGGGAGCGAACAGG
rnacentral:rRNA from 1 species